AUUGAACGCUGGCGGCAGGCCUAACACAUGCAUGUCGAGCGAGCGACGGACGGGGGAGUAAUGUCGAGGAAACUGACUGAUGACGGGGGAUAACUACUGGAAGCGAAAGCUAAUACCACAUAUCAUCCGAUGUGUCCAGAUGGGAUUAGCUAGUAGGUGGGGUAACGGCUCACCUAGGCGACGUUCCCUAGCUGGUCUGAGAGGAUGACCAGCCACACUGGAACUGAGACACGGUCCAGACUCCUACGGGAGGCAGCAGUGGGGAAUAUUGCACAAUGGGCGCAAGCCUGAUUCAGCCAUGCCGCGUGUGUGAAGAAGGCCUUCGGGUUUUAAAGCACUUUCAGCGGGGAGGCGUUACCCGCAGAAGAAGCACCGGCUAACGCCGGGCCAGCAGCCGCGGUAAUAC
rnacentral:rRNA from 1 species